rnacentral:lncRNA from 1 species
UACUCUUCCUGUCUUCUUAAUUAUAUAUGGCCUUGAUUAUAAAUAUGACCAUUAUAAGAGCUGAGUGGAUAUAUAUAUGGAUUUGACCUUCGCAAGGAUCACCUUCAGCCUCUUUUAAUAACUGUAGAGUCAGAUAGCUCUUUUUCUUUCCAUCUAUUUCCAAAUAUUGCUCUUGUAUUUGUCCAUAAUUUUGUGGUCAAUGAUUGUUCACGACCCGUUAGACAAGAAAAUUCUAACCUCUUGAAGGCAUGACAUUUAAACCUAUAUUUUAUUACAGAUAAAUCAGAACUACCCAUAUUUACAUAUUACUCUUGUCCUUAUACUAGCCCCAGCCUCCCAUCCCCCAACAUUUGACACCCCGUUGCUCCCUCUUCCAUUCAAAAUCCAUCCAUAACCUUCUUUCUCCCUAACACCACCACCCCAACAUGGAUAAUUUCUAUGAUUCCAUCUCAUGUCGGAAGCCCCCAUUCCCCUCUGUUCCAUUCAUUCCCACUCCAAUCCCAUAACCUCUCUCCCUCGCUCCCUCAUGCACACACAGGUGCACACUCAAGGUGGCAUCCCUGAAAGUUGAAAAUUAAAGCUUAAAACCCUUUAACCCUUCAAAUUAAUAGAUUACGUCUUUCAGAUAAAAACCCUUCAAUAUAAUAGAUUACCAAUAAGCAUCACAUGUUUAGUACUUAAUUUAAAAA